rnacentral:hammerhead_ribozyme from 1 species
AUUCAGCUGAUAAGUCGCAAACAAGACGAAACGCGCGUCCUACAU